AUUGAACGCUGGCGGCAGGCUUAACACAUGCAAGUCGAGCGGAGCGAGGGUGCUUGCACCUUAGCUUAGCGGCGGACGGGUGAGUAAUGCUUAGGAAUCUGCCUAUUAGUGGGGGACAACAUUCCGAAAGGAAUGCUAAUACCGCAUACGCCCUACGGGGGAAAGCAGGGGAUCUUCGGAGCUUGCGCUAAUAGAUGAGCCGAAGUCGGAUUAGCUAGUUGGUGGGGUAAAGGCCUACCAAGGCGACGAUCUGUAGCGGGUCUGAGAGGAUGAUCCGCCACAAUGGGACUGAGACACGGCCCAGACUCCUACGGGAGGCAGCAGUGGGGAAUAUUGGACAAUGGGCGGAAGCCUGAUCCAGCCAUGCCGCGUGUGUGAAGAAGGCCUUUUGGUUGUAAAGCACUUUAAGCGAGGAGGAGGCUACUUAGAUUAAUACUCUGGGAUAGUGGACGUUACUCGCAGAAUAAGCACCGGCUAACUCUGUGCCAGCCGCCGCAGUAACAC
rnacentral:rRNA from 1 species